CGGCGUGCCUAACACAUGCAAGUCGAGCGGGGACAUACGACGGAGUCAAAGUUUCGGAUGGAGACGAAGAUGUAUGUUCUAGCGGCGGACGGGUGAGUAACGCGUGAGCAACCUGUCCCUUACAGGGGGAUAACACAGCGAAAGUUGUACUAAUACCGCAUGAGACCACGGGGAGACAUCUUCCAGGGGUCAAAGGAGCAAUCCGGUAAGGGGUGGGCUCGCGUCCGAUUAGAUAGUUGGUGAGGUAACGGCCCACCAAGUCGACGAUCGGUAGCCGACCUGAGAGGGUGAUCGGCCACAUUGGGACUGAGACACGGCCCAAACUCCUACGGGAGGCAGCAGUGGGGAAUAUUGGGCAAUGGGGGGAAACCCUGACCCAGCAACGCCGCGUGAGGGAAGAAGGUUUUCGGAUCGUAAACCUCUGUCCUUGGUGAAGAGGAAGAGACGGUAGCCAAGGAGGAAGCCCCGGCUAACUACGUGCCAGCCGCGGC
rnacentral:rRNA from 1 species